rnacentral:rRNA from 1 species
UACGGGAGGCAGCAGUGGGGAAUAUUGCACAAUGGGCGAAAGCCUGAUGCAGCUAUGCCGCGUGUAUGAAGAAGGCCUUAGGGUUGUAAAGUACUUUCAUCGGGGAGGAAAAACAAAACUAAUAAUUUUAUUUCUUGACGUUACCCGAAAAAGAAGCACCGGCUAACUCCGUGCCAGCAGCCGCGGUAAUACGGAGGGUGCUAGCGUUAAUCAGAAUUACUGGGCGUAAAGAGCACGUAGGUGGUUUUUUUAAGUCAGAUGUGAAAUCCCUGGGCUUAACCUGGAACUGCAUUUUGAAACUGAAAUACCUAGAGUAUCGUAGAGGGAGGUAGAAUUCUAGGUGUAGCGGUGAAAUGCGUAGAUAUCUGGAGGAAUACCUGUGGCGAAAGCGGCCUCCUAAACGAAUACUGACACUGAGGUGCGAAAGCGUGGGGAGCAAACAGGGAUUAGAUACC